rnacentral:rRNA from 1 species
GACGAACGCUGGCGGCGUGCUUAACACAUGCAAGUCGAACGGAAAGGCCCUGCUUUUGUUGGGUGCUCGAGUGGCGAACGGGUGAGUAACACGUGUGUAACCUGCCCUUGACUUUGUGAUAACUUCAGGAAACUGGGGCUCAUACCGGAUAGGAGCUCCUGCUGCAUGUUGGGGGUUAGAAAGUUUCGGCGGUUCUGGCUGGACUCGCGGCUUAUCAGCUUGGUGGUGGGGUAGUGGCUUACCAAGGCUUUGACGGGUAGCCGGCCUGAGAGGGUGACCGGCGACAUUGGGACUGAGAUAGGGACCAGAAUCCUACGGGAGGCAGUAGGGGAGAAUAUUGCACAAUGGGCGGAAGCCUGAUGCAGCAACGUUGCGUGCGGGAUGACGGCCUUCGGGUUGUAAACCGCUUUCUACUGUGACGAAGAGUGAGUGACGGUAAUGGGUAAAGAAGCAACGGCUAACUACGUG